GGCGAACGCUGGCGGCGUGCUUAACACAUGCAAGUCGAACGGAAAGGCCCUGCUUUUGUGGGGUGCUCGAGUGGCGAACGGGUGAGUAACACGUGAGUAACCUGCCCUUGACUUUGGGAUAACUUCAGGAAACUGGGGCUAAUACCGGAUAGGAGCUCCUGCUGCAUGGUGGGGGUUGGAUAGUUUCGGCGGUUGGGGAUGGACUCGCGGCCUAUCAGCUUGUUGGUGGGGUAGUGGCUUACCAAGGCUUUGACGGGUAGCCGGCCUGAGAGGGUGACCGGCCACAUUGGGACUGAGAUACGGCCCAGACUCCAACGGGAGGCAGCAGUGGGGAAUAUUGCACAAUGGGCGGAAGCCUGAUGCAGCAACGCCGCGUGCGGGAUGACGGCCUUCGGGUUGUAAACCGCUUUCGCCUGUGACGAAGCGUGAGUGACGGUAAUGGGUAAAGAAGCACCGGCUAACUACGUG
rnacentral:rRNA from 1 species